AUUCUAGGCACUUCACAAAACUGGACUCAUACGAUAUCUGUAGUUUUGCGUCUGGCUUCUCUAUUGAAUUCUUAAAGGGGGGUGGGAACUAAGCAGAUCACAAGGGAGCUGCCCACAGAGGUAAAGACAAGGUCAGGUAGGCUGAGAGACGCAGGAAAGCGGGUCAAGGCGUAGGGCUGGAGGGCAGGGGCGGGCCCUGGGCGUGGGCUGGGGGUCCUGCCCCGGGGCGCACCCCGGGCGAGGGCUGCCCGGAGGAGCCGAGGUUGGCGGACAGCUUGGCCCUGAGCUUGAGGGGAAGGCAGCGAUGGGACAAAGGACGGAGGUCUAGGAAGAGGGUCUGCAGAGCAGAAAGCACGGGUAGGGGCGGCCUGACGCUCGGAAGACAACGCAUGGGAGCCGUGUGCACGUCGGGAGCUCGGAGUGAGCGCACCAUGACUCCUGUGAGGAUGCAGCACUCCCUGGCAGGUCAGACCUAUGCCGUGCCCUUCAUCCAGCCAGACCUGCGGCGAGAGGAGGCCGUCCAGCAGAUGGCGGAUGCCCUGCAGUAC
ensembl:lncRNA WASH5P WASP family homolog 5, pseudogene